AUAGAGUUGAAGAAAAACAAUUAGUAGCCAAUAGCUUGUAGAUGAUAUUUAAAGGCAUGGGACAGAAUGAGCUCAUCUGAGGAAAGAAGACAGUUACAGAACAGGGCCAAGGGCCAAGCUGUGGCCUUAAGCCAAUAUCUUGAGGUCAGGAAAAGAAGAAAUUCAACGUAAGGAAUGACAGUGAGCUAGGAAAAGCAGAAAGGAUGUGACCAACUGUGUCAAAUGCUGCUGAGACGUAAAACAUGAUGAAGUCCAAGAAUUGACUGGAGGGUCUGGUAGGACAGAGGAUGGCCGAUACUAGGCAUGCAUGUGCAUACAGAAAAGAGAGUAACCCAAUAGUGAGGAAGAAAUUGAUGCUGCAGGAGAGAGGGAAUAAUUGCCGAAGCAAAGAUCUUGAGGUACUGAGAAAGGAUGACCCUAAUUUCCUUAAUGCUGCAGCCUGCUUCCACUGAGGGACUGGAGGCUCCUUGAGCAAAAUUAUCUACCUCUUCACCUUUGGAUCUUUCACAGUUCCCAGUUCGGUGUACUACAGAUUGUACUUGCUAAAUAAAAAAUCAUUGUCAUGGUUUACCUAAAUGCCUGAAGUGUUAAUAAUAAAAAAAAAACCCUUUAUUCCCUCCCAUACACUUUAUAAAUCUACAGGAUUAGAGAAACAGAAUCAUCUAGACAUUUCUGGUGGUAAUGGAAAAUUGUUCAACCACUCUGGAAAAUUGUUUGGCAUUUUCCUAUAAAACUAAACAUGAAAUUACCAUAUGACCCAGAAAUUGCAC
rnacentral:lncRNA from 1 species